GAUGAACGCUGGCGGCGUGCCUAAUACAUGCAAGUCGAGCGAAUGGAUUGAGAGCUUGCUCUUAUGAAGUUAGCGGCGGACGGGUGAGUAACACGUGGGUAACCUGCCCAUAAGACUGGGAUAACUCCGGGAAACCGGGGCUAAUACCGGAUAACAUUUGGAACCGCAUGGUUCGAAAUUGAAAGGCGGCUUCGGCUGUCACUUAUGGAUGGACCCGCGUCGCAUUAGCUAGUUGGUGAGGUAACGGCUCACCAAGGCAACGAUGCGUAGCCGACCUGAGAGGGUGAUCGGCCACACUGGGACUGAGACACGGCCCAGACUCCUACGGGAGGCAGCAGUAGGGAAUCUUCCGCAAUGGACGAAAGUCUGACGGAGCAACGCCGCGUGAGUGAUGAAGGCUUUCGGGUCGUAAAACUCUGUUGUUAGGGAAGAACAAGAGCUAGUUGAAUAAGCUGGCACCUUGACGGUACCUAACCAGAAAGCCACGGCUAACUACGUGCCAGCCGCCGCCGUAA
rnacentral:rRNA from 1 species